UACGUAGGGUGCGAGCGUUGUCCGGAAUUAUUGGGCGUAAAGAGCUCGUAGGCGGUUUGUCGCGUCUGCUGUGAAAACUCGGGGCUUAACCCCGGGCCUGCAGUGGGUACGGGCAGACUAGAGUGCGGUAGGGGAGACUGGAAUUCCUGGUGUAGCGGUGAAAUGCGCAGAUAUCAGGAGGAACACCGGUGGCGAAGGCAGGUCUCUGGGCCACUACUGACGCUGAGAAGCGAAAGCAUGGGGGAGCGAACAGG
rnacentral:rRNA from 1 species